rnacentral:rRNA from 1 species
UACAGAGGUCUCAAGCGUUGUACGGAUUCCUUGGGCGUAAAGGGUGCGUAGGCGGCGCGGUAAGUCGGGUGUGAAAUCUCGGGGCUUAACUCCGAAACUGCAUUCGAUACUGCCGUGCUUGAGUACUGGAGAGGAGACUGGAAUUUACGGUGUAGCGGUGAAAUGCGUAGAUAUCGUAAGGAAGACCAGUGGCGAAGGCGGGUCUCUGGACAGUACCUGACGCUGAGGCACGAAGGCCAGGGGAGCAAACGGG